AUUCCCCGCCGCUCUCUGUUGUCCCCCGUCACUCGCUGCCGUCCACCGCCGCUCCCUGCCAUUUCGCCACUGCCGCCGCUCGCCCCCACUUGCCGCCGUCCCCCGUCGUCACCCGCUGCUCGAUGCCAUCCCCCGUUGUCCCCUGGCAUCCUCCGUCAUCUGCCGGCGUCCCCCGCCGCUCACCGCCAUCCCCCGUCGUUCCCCCGCUGCCGCCCCUUGCCCCCUCUUGCCGCCGUCCCCCGUCGUCCCUCGUUGUUCCCCGCCGCUCAGUGCCAUCCCCUGUCGUCCCCCGUUGUUUCACAAUGCUUGCCGCCGUCCCCUGCCGCUCACUGCCGUCCCCCGCUGUCGUUCCCAACCGUUCCCCGCCGCUCCCUGCUGCCACUGCUCACCCCCACUUGCUGCCGUCCCCCGUGGUCCCCUGUCGUUCCCCGUCAUUCCCCGCCGUUCUCCAUCCCCCACGCUGUACCCCGCUGUCCUCCGUUGUUCCCCGUCGCUCCCCGUCGUCCCCAACACUCACCGCCGUUCCCCGUCGUCCCCCGCUGCUUGCUGCCGCUCACCGCUGUCCCCAGCUGCUCGCCGCUGUUCCCCGCCGUCCCCUGCCACUCCCUGCCGUUCCCAGUCGCUCGCCGCCGUUCCCCGUCAUUCCCCGCCGCUCUCUGUUGUCCCCCGUCACUCGCUGCCGUCCCCCGCCGCUCCCCGCCGUAUCCCCACUGCCGCCGCUCGCCCCCACUUGCCGCCGUCCCCUGUCGUCCCCUGUUGUUCACCGCCGCUUGAUGCUGUCCCCCGUCGUCCCCUGGCAUCCCCCAUCAUCUGCCGCUGCCCCCGCCGCUCUCCACCGUCCCCUGCCGCUCCCUGCCAUUUCCCCGCUGCCGCCGCUUGCCCCCACUUGCCUCCAUCCCCCGUCGUCCCCUGUUGUUCGACGCCACUCCCGCCGUCCCCCGUUGUCCCCUGGCAUCCCCCGUCGUCCGCCGUCGUCCCCCGCUGUCCCCCUCCGCUCCCUGCCGUUCCCCGUCAUUCCCCGUGGCUCUCUGACGUCCCCCGUCGCUCGCCGCCAUUCCCCAUCAUUCCCCGCCGCUCUCCACCGUCCCCCGCCACUCGCUGCCGUCUGCUGCCAUUCCCCAUCGCCUGCUGUUCCUCCGCUGCCACCACUCGCCCCCUCUUGCCGCCAUCCCCCGUAGUCCCCCGCUGUUCACCGCUGCUCGCCGCUGUCCCGUUGUCCCCCGCCGCUCACCACCGUCCCCUGCUGUUCCCCCGCUGCCACCGCUUGCUCCCGCUUGCCGCCGUCCGCCAUCGUCCCUCGUUGUUCCGCGCCGCUUGACGCCGUCUACCGUUGUUCCUCACCGCUCGCCGCUGUCCCCUGUUGUCCGCCAUCGUCCCCCGCUGUCCCCCGCCGCUCCCUGCCGUUUCCCGUCGCUUGCCGCCGUUCCCCGUCAUUCCCCGCCGCUCUGUCGUCCCCCGCUGCUUGCCGCUGUUCCCCGUCGUUCCCCAUCAUUCCCCGCCGCGCUCCGUCGUCCCCCGUUGCUCGCCACUGUCCCCCGC
rnacentral:lncRNA from 1 species